rnacentral:rRNA from 1 species
AACGAACGCUGGCGGCAUGCCUAACACAUGCAAGUCGAACGAGACCUUCGGGUCUAGUGGCGCACGGGUGCGUAACGCGUGGGAACCUGCCCCUAGGUUCGGAAUAACUCCCCGAAAGGGGUGCUAAUACCGGAUAAUGUCUUCGGACCAAAGAUUUAUCGCCUUUGGAUGGGCCCGCGUUGGAUUAGCUAGUCGGUAGGGUAAAAGCCUACCAAGGCGACGAUCCAUAGCUGGUCUGAGAGGAUGAUCAGCCACACUGGGACUGAGACACGGCCCAGACUCCUACGGGAGGCAGCAGUGGGGAAUAUUGGACAAUGGGCGAAAGCCUGAUCCAGCAAUGCCGCGUGAGUGAUGAAGGCCUUAGGGUUGUAAAGCUCUUUUACCCGGGAUGAUAAUGACAGUACCGGGAGAAUAAGCUCCGGCUAACUCCGU